GGAUCAAUAUUUCGGUCAUGCCGUUGGUAUGCACUGUUAUCAUUGAUUUCUCACCUUCUAAAGAACCGUAAUGCCAUUAAUUUGGUGUUACGGGGAAUUAGGACUGUUACCUUGAAAAAAUUAGAGUGUUUAAAGCAGGCUCACGCUUGAAUACAUUAGCAUGGAAUAAUGAAAUAGGAC
rnacentral:rRNA from 1 species